AGGGCUAUGGACAGUUCUUCCGUGAUCCCCGUCAAGGAUUGGAGCUCGUCAGAGCCCUGAACCGAAAUGGCCUAGGCUCUUUCGGACAACUGCUUCUGAAGGCAAGCAACCUCAUCGGUUGCCGUCUUGAGCCUCCUUCUGUAGUUGUUUAUUUGUCUGCACCAGCCGACUCGACAAGUAUUGUAAUUCAUCUCGGCAUCCUGUAGCUGCUUCUGGAGGUCGAAAAAUUUCUUCGACCAGUCCCGACCAUGAUCAGCCUGAGUUG
rnacentral:lncRNA from 1 species